UGUGUGUAUGUGUGCAUGAGCAUGUAUGCAUAUGUAUAUAUGAUAUGUAUAUUUUGCAUGCAUGUAU
ensembl:miRNA